rnacentral:lncRNA from 1 species
UUCGAAAAGAACGCAAUAAAUUCGAUAGGUCUUCCGAAUUGCUUCGUAUUCAAAAUAAAAAUGUUAUUUUUGUAGUGCUAAAAGUUGUAGUUUUAUAAUUGUUUUUAUUUAAAAUUGAAGUAAAUGUAGCAUCUGAUUAACAGCAGGCAAUACCCCGCCCACUGGCCCCUCCCCUUGUUGUUCCACCUGCACCAUUCCAUACUCGCACUGGUCUCCACAGUAACCAGAUUCAAUGUGUCAUCACACUGCGUGUGUAACAGGCAUGUGUAAGUGUAUAGUACUGCAGUAGCAGUUAGGAAGUUGGAGCAGUAGGAAGCUGGUAGUUGCUGAGUCUCUGUUACUGGAUCAGAUCAUCGUUCUGGUAGCUGGCUGAAAAAUCAUGGCAACAACCUUUUUCAGCAAUUUGAUAAGUGGUUCCACUGAACGGGACCUGAUUGGAAAGCUGCAGCAGAACCCGAGUGUCCCGUUUAGGAGGGAAAAUGAUGUGUUUGUGUGGGAGUACAGGCAUGAAAACCUCUGGAAGGGUUUUCUACUGUUCAUGGUCUCAGUUGUAGGAACUGCACUGUACUUCAGCAGUCACGCAGGGUUGUUGCAUUGCCAGGGUAGGAGGUUGGCCAAUAUACUCAUCGUCACCUACAUUGAUGAUGGGGAAAUCUAAUGGUGUUGACCUGUUUGGAACAGUGGAAACCCCCAGUCUAGGAAGAUACUGCCUGUGUAGAAUGUCACUAUCAUCAUCAGUCUCCAAAAACAGACAAAAAUACUGGACAGCAAUGUAUGCAGUGGAUAAAGCAGCUAUGUGGAAUCAAUCAAUCAAUCAACCUUUAUUUUGACUCGGAUGUACACUGAGGGCAGCCCUCAUUUUCAAUGUAGCCGAGCAUUUACAGAAACAAGGAUUGACAUGACAGAGAAAAUAAUUAUUUUAAAAUAACAGUAAAUAAAAUAUAAAAAUAGAUAACA